rnacentral:rRNA from 1 species
CGGCUGCUCAGUAACACGUAGUCAACUUACCCUAUGGACGAGGAUAAUCUCGGGAAACUGAGCAUAAUACUCGAUAGAUCAUAAUGCCUGGAAUGGUUUAUGGUUGAAAUGAUUCAUCGCCAUAGGAUGGGACUGCGGCCUAUCAGCUUGUUGGUGAGGUAAUGGCCCACCAAGGCGAUUACAGGUACGGGCUCUGAGAGGAGAAGCCCGGAGAUGGGUACUGAGACAAGGACCCAGGCCCUAUGGGGCGCAGCAGGCGAGAAGACUUUGCAAUGUGCGAAAGCACGACAAGGUUAAUCCGAGUGAUUUCUGCUAAAGAAAUCUUUUGCAAGUCAUAAAACCACUAGUGAAUAAGGGGUGGGCAAGUUCUGGUGUCAGCCGCCGCGGUAAAACCAGCACCUCAAGUGGUCAGGAGGAUCAUUGGGCCUAAAGCAUCCGUAGCCGGCUCUGUAAGUUUUCGGUUAAAUCCAUGUGCUCAACGCAUGGGCUGCCGAAAAUACUGCAUAGCUAGGGAGUGGGAGAGGUAGACGGUACUCGGUAGGAAGGGGUAAAAUCCUUUGAUCUAUCGAUGACCACCUGUGGCGAAGGCGGUCUACCAGAACACGUUCGACGGUGAGGGAUGAAAGCUGGGGGAGCAAACCGGAUUAGAUACCCGGGUAGUCCCAGCUGUAAACGAUGCAGACUCGAUGAUGCAUUGGCAUAUAGCCAGUGCAGUGUCGCAGGGAAGCCGUUAAGUCUGCCGCCUGGGAAGUACGUACGCAAGCAUGAAACUUAAAGGAAUUGGCGGGGGAGCAG